CGUAGGUGGCAAGCGUUGUCCGGAAUUAUUGGGCGUAAGCGCGCGCAGGCGGUUCCUUAAGUCUGAUGUGAAAGCCCCCGGCUCAACCGGGGAAGGUCAUUGGAAACUGGGGAACUUGAGUGCAGAAGAGAAGAGCGGAAUUCCACGUGUAGCGGUGAAAUGCGUAGAGAUGUGGAGGAACACCAGUGGCGAAGGCGGCUCUUUGGUCUGUAACUGACGCUGAGGCGCGAAAGCGUGGGGAGCAAACAGGAUUAGAUACCCUGGUAGUCCACGCCGUAAACGAUGAGUGCUAAGUGUUAGAGGGUUUCCGCCCUUUAGUGCUGCAGCUAACGCAUUAAGCACUCCGCCUGGGGAGUACGGCCGCAAGGCUG
rnacentral:rRNA from 1 species